GACGAACGCUGGCGGCGUGCUUAACACAUGCAAGUCGAACGGAAAGGCCCUGCUUUUGUGGGGUGCUCGAGUGGCGAACGGGUGAGUAACACGUGAGUAACCUGCCCUUGACUUUGGGAUAACUUCAGGAAACUGGGGCUAAUACCGGAUAGGAGCUCCUGCUGCAUGGUGGGGGUUGGAAAGUUUCGGCGGUUGGGGAUGGACUCGCGGCUUAUCAGCUUGUUGGUGGGGUAGUGGCUUACCAAGGCUUUGACGGGUAGCCGGCCCGAGAGGGUGACCGGCGACAUGGGGCCUGAGAGACGGCGCAGAGUGCUACGGGAGACAGCAGUGGGGAACAUUGUACAACGGGCGGGCGCGUGAUGCAGCGACGCCGCGUUCGUGAUGACGGCCUUCGGGUUGUAAACCGCUUUCGCUUGUGACGAAGCGUGAGUGACGGUAAUGGGUAAAGAAGCACCGGCUAACUACGUG
rnacentral:rRNA from 1 species